AAGUGCAGCGCAGCGCGAGAGGCUGCAGAGGCUUUAAUGAAGACACUAAAACAUCAUCUCCAACACGCUCUGAGAGGAGAGAGCAGCUAAAGGCCUGCGGCUGCACCGUACCAGGAAGCGGAUUCAGCUAAGCAGGUUAAUACGGGUGUAGAAGUCCGUCUCGUACUGGAGAUACAGCAGCUGUCAGACAUCAGCAGAACCCGGAAAACCGAAAAGGGCCUGCAGACCUGGCUUUGUGGUCUCUGACACAUUAUUACCUGUGAACCAGGACACAGACUCUGCUAAACUUCUGCGCCUGGACCGGAUCUGAUAUACAGCUGCAGCAUGUAAAGGAGCCCCACAGAGUGAGGGAGGAGAGAGGGAGGGAGAGAUGUACAGAUGGAAAGAUGAAGAAGAGAAGAGGCAGCAAAUGAACAGCAGGAACUCAGCGGAAAUUGGAACCCCCCCAUUCUCUCUCUCCCUCUCCCUCCCUCUCUCUGACUCUCUCUCAUUCUCCAUCUCCCUCUUCCUUCCUCUC